UCCCGCGGACGUGUCAGUAACACGUAGCUAACCUAACCUCAAGUGGAGGAUAAUCUUGGGAAACUGAGGCUAAUACUCCAUAGUUGUUGGAUGCUGGAAUGCUUUAACAAUCAAAGCCACGGCGCUUGAGGAUGGGGCUGCGACCUAUCAUGGUAGUUGUGAGUAUAAGAUACUCACAAGCCCGUAACGGGUAGGGGCCAUGAGAGUGGAAGCCUCGAGAUGCCUUCUGAGACAUGAAGGCAGGUCCUACGGGACGCAGCAGGUACGAAAACUUUCCAAUAGCUUAACGGCUGAGAGGGGAAGCCUGAGUGGCUAUGUUUUACAUAGUCUUUUGUUUUGCUUAAAAAGCAAGACGAAUAAGUGGUGGGUAAGACGGGUGGCAGCCGCCGCGGUAAUACCCGCGCCACAAAUGGUGACCGCGAUUAUUGGGUCUAAAGCGUCCGUAGCCGGUUCAACAAGUUCUUGGUUAAAUCCAGCAGUUGACUGUUGGCUUGCUGAGAAUACUGUUGGACUUGGGAUUGGGAAAGGAGAAAGGUAUUCCACGUGUAGGGGUUAAAUCCUUUAAUCCGUGGAAGACCUCCAGUGGCGAAGGCGUUUCUCUGGAACAAGUCCGACGGUGAGGGACGAAAGCUAGGGGAGCAAACGGGAUUAGAUACAAACUUUCUAAUCCUAUGAUUUCAAAGAUGAUUGGAGGUUUGCUAGAAACCCCGGUAGUCCUAGCUGUAAACGAUGCCCGUUUGAUGUUGCAAACUCUACGGGAGUUUGCAGUGUCGGAGCGUAGGUGUUAAACGGGCCACCUGGGGAGUACGGGCCGCAAGGUUGAAACUUAAGG
rnacentral:rRNA from 1 species